UGGCUGACUGGGGCUCCUGGGGAUGGGAUUGCUGCCUUUUAUAAAUCACAUUGCCAGAGAUUUCCAACUGACC
rnacentral:pre_miRNA from 12 species